GAUGAACGCUAGCGGGAGGCCUAACACAUGCAAGCCGAGCGGUAUUGUUUCUUCGGAAGUGAGAGAGCGGCGUACGGGUGCGGAACACGUGUGCAACCUGCCUUUAUCUGGGGGAUAGCCUUUCGAAAGGAAGAUUAAUACUCCAUAAUAUAUUGAACGGCAUCGUUUAAUAUUGAAAGCUCCGGCGGAUAGAGAUGGGCACGCGCAAGAUUAGCUAGUUGGUGAGGUAACGGCUCACCAAGGCGAUGAUCUUUAGGGGGCCUGAGAGGGUGAUCCCCCACACUGGUACUGAGACACGGACCAGACUCCUACGGGAGGCAGCAGUGAGGAAUAUUGGUCAAUGGGUGCAAGCCUGAACCAGCCAUCCCGCGUGAAGGACGACUGCCCUAUGGGUUGUAAACUUCUUUUGUAUAGGGAUAAACCUACCCUCGUGAGGGUAGCUGAAGGUACUAUACGAAUAAGCACCGGCUAACUCCGUGCCAGCAGCCGCGGUAAUACGGAGGGUGCAAGCGUUAUCCGGAUUUAUUGGGUUUAAAGGGUCCGUAGGCGGACUUAUAAGUCAGUGGUGAAAGCCUGUCGCUUAACGAUAGAACUGCCAUUGAUACUGUAAGUCUUGAGUAUAUUUGAGGUAGCUGGAAUAAGUAGUGUAGCGGUGAAAUGCAUAGAUAUUACUUAGAACACCAAUUGCGAAGGCAGGUUACCAAGAUAUAACUGACGCUGAGGGACGAAAGCGUGGGGAGCGAACAGGAUUAGAUACCCUGGUAGUCCACGCCGUAAACGAUGCUAACUCGUUUUUGGGCUUUAGGGUUCAGAGACCAAGCGAAAGUGAUAAGUUAGCCACCUGGGGAGUACGCUCGCAAGAGUGAAACUCAAAGGAAUUGGCGGGGGCCCGCACAAGCGGUGGAUUAUGUGGUUUAAUUCGAUGAUACGCGAGGAACCUUACCAAGACUUAAAUGGGAAUUGACAGCUUUAGAAAUAGAGCUUUCUUCGGACAAUUUUCAAGGUGCUGCAUGGUUGUCGUCAGCUCGUGCCGUGAGGUGUUAGGUUAAGUCCUGCAACGAGCGCAACCCCUGUCACUAGUUGCCAUCAUUCAGUUGGGGACUCUAGUGAGACUGCCUACGCAAGUAGAGAGGAAGGUGGGGAUGACGUCAAAUCAUCACGGCCCUUACGUCUUGGGCCACACACGUAAUACAAUGGCCGGUACAGAGGGCAGCUACACAGCGAUGUGAUGCAAAUCUCGAAAGCCGGUCUCAGUUCGGAUUGGAGUCUGCAACUCGACUCUAUGAAGCUGGAAUCGCUAGUAAUCGCGCAUCAGCCAUGGCGCGGUGAAUACGUUCCCGGGCCU
rnacentral:rRNA from 1 species